GGGUUGUGAGGUUAAGCGACUAAGCGUACACGGUGGAUGCCCUGGCAGUCAGAGGCGAUGAAGGACGUGCUAAUCUGCGAAAAGCGCCGGCGAGGUGAUAUGAACCUUUGACCCGGCGAUGUCCGAAUGGGGAAACCCAGUGCAAUUCGUUGCACUAUCGUUAACUGAAUACAUAGGUUAACGAGGCGAACCGGGGGAACUGAAACAUCUAAGUACCCCGAGGAAAAGAAAUCAACCGAGAUUCCCCCAGUAGCGGCGAGCGAACGGGGAGCAGCCCGGAGUCUGAAUCAGCUUGUGUGUUAGUGGAACGGUCUGGAAAGUCCGACGGUACAGGGUGAUAGUCCCGUACACGAAAGCACACAUGCUGUGAACUCGAAGAGUAGGGCGGGACACGUGGUAUCCUGUCUGAAUAUGGGGGGACCAUCCUCCAAGGCUAAAUACUCCUGACUGACCGAUAGUGAACCAGUACCGUGAGGGAAAGGCGAAAAGAACCCCGGCGAGGGGAGUGAAAAAGAACCUGAAACCGUGUACGUACAAGCAGUGGGAGCCUCUUUAUGGGGUGACUGCGUACCUUUUGUAUAAUGGGUCAGCGACUUAUAUUCUGUAGCAAGGUUAACCGUAUAGGGGAGCCGAAGGGAAACCGAGUCUUAACUGGGCGUUAAGUUGCAGGGUAUAGACCCGAAACCCGGUGAUCUAGCCAUGGGCAGGUUGAAGGUUGGGUAACACUAACUGGAGGACCGAACCGACUAAUGUUGAAAAAUUAGCGGAUGACCUGUGGCUGGGGGUGAAAGGCCAAUCAAACCGGGAGAUAGCUGGUUCUCCCCGAAAGCUAUUUAGGUAGCGCCUCGUGAACUCAUCUUCGGGGGUAGAGCACUGUUUCGGCUAGGGGGCCAUCCCGGCUUACCAACCCGAUGCAAACUACGAAUACCGAAGAAUGUUAUCACGGGAGACACACGGCGGGUGCUAACGUCCGUCGUGAAGAGGGAAACAACCCAGACCGCCAGCUAAGGUCCCAAAGUCAUGGUUAAGUGGGAAACGAUGUGGGAAGGCACAGACAGCCAGGAUGUUGGCUUAGAAGCAGCCAUCAUUUAAAGAAAGCGUAAUAGCUCACUGGUCGAGUCGGCCUGCGCGGAAGAUGUAACGGGGCUAAACCAUGCACCGAAGCUGCGGCAGCGACGCUUAUGCGUUGUUGGGUAGGGGAGCGUUCUGUAAGCCGUUGAAGGUGGCCUGUGAGGGUUGCUGGAGGUAUCAGAAGUGCGAAUGCUGACAUAAGUAACGAUAAAGCGGGUGAAAAGCCCGCUCGCCGGAAGACCAAGGGUUCCUGUCCAACGUUAAUCGGGGCAGGGUGAGUCGACCCCUAAGGCGAGGCCGAAAGGCGUAGUCGAUGGGAAACAGGUUAAUAUUCCUGUACUUGGUGUUACUGCGAAGGGGGGACGGAGAAGGCUAUGUCAGCCGGGCGACGGUUGUCCCGGUUUAAGCAUGUAGGCGGAGGUUCCAGGUAAAUCCGGUACCUUGUUAACGCUGAGGUGUGAUGACGAGGCACUACGGUGCUGAAGUGAUAAAUGCCCUGCUUCCAGGAAAAGCCUCUAAGCAUCAGGUAACACGAAAUCGUACCCCAAACCGACACAGGUGGUCAGGUAGAGAAUACCAAGGCGCUUGAGAGAACUCGGGUGAAGGAACUAGGCAAAAUGGUGCCGUAACUUCGGGAGAAGGCACGCUGAUAUGUAGGUGAAGCCCCUGCGGGCGGAGCUGAAAUCAGUCGAAGAUACCAGCUGGCUGCAACUGUUUAUUAAAAACACAGCACUGUGCAAACACGAAAGUGGACGUAUACGGUGUGACGCCUGCCCGGUGCCGGAAGGUUAAUUGAUGGGGUUAGCUGUAAGGCGAAGCUCUUGAUCGAAGCCCCGGUAAACGGCGGCCGUAACUAUAACGGUCCUAAGGUAGCGAAAUUCCUUGUCGGGUAAGUUCCGACCUGCACGAAUGGCGUAAUGAUGGCCAGGCUGUCUCCACCCGAGACUCAGUGAAAUUGAACUCGCUGUGAAGAUGCAGUGUACCCGCGGCAAGACGGAAAGACCCCGUGAACCUUUACUAUAGCUUGACACUGAACACUGGUCCUUGAUGUGUAGGAUAGGUGGGAGGCUUUGAAGCGUGGACGCCAGUCUGCGUGGAGCCAACCUUGAAAUACCACCCUUUAAUGGCUGGUGUUCUAACGUAGACCCGUAAUCCGGGUUGCGGACAGUGUCUGGUGGGUAGUUUGACUGGGGCGGUCUCCUCCCAAAGAGUAACGGAGGAGCACGAAGGUUGGCUAAUCCUGGUCGGACAUCAGGAGGUUAGUGCAAUGGCAUAAGCCAGCUUGACUGCGAGCGUGACGGCGCGAGCAGGUGCGAAAGCAGGUCAUAGUGAUCCGGUGGUUCUGAAUGGAAGGGCCAUCGCUCAACGGAUAAAAGGUACUCCGGGGAUAACAGGCUGAUACCGCCCAAGAGUUCAUAUCGACGGCGGUGUUUGGCACCUCGAUGUCGGCUCAUCACAUCCUGGGGCUGAAGUAGGUCCCAAGGGUAUGGCUGUUCGCCAUUUAAAGUGGUACGCGAGCUGGGUUUAGAACGUCGUGAGACAGUUCGGUCCCUAUCUGCCGUGGGCGCUGGAGAAUUGAGGGGGGCUGCUCCUAGUACGAGAGGACCGGAGUGGACGCAUCACUGGUGUUCGGGUUGUCAUGCCAAUGGCACUGCCCGGUAGCUAAAUGCGGAAGAGAUAAGUGCUGAAAGCAUCUAAGCACGAAACUUGCCCCGAGAUGAGUUCUCCCUGAGACUUUAAGUCUCCUGAAGGAACGUUGAAGACGACGACGUUGAUAGGUCGGGUGUGUAAGCGCAGCGAUGCGUUGAGCUAACCGAUACUAAUGAACCGUGAGGCUUAACCUUACAACGCCGAAG
rnacentral:rRNA from 1 species